CGUAGGGUGCGAGCGUUAAUCGGAAUUACUGGGCGUAAAGCGUGCGCAGGCGGUGAUGUAAGACAGAUGUGAAAUCCCCGGGCUCAACCUGGGACCUGCAUUUGUGACUGCAUCGCUAGAGUAUGGCAGAGGGGAGUGGAAUUCCGCGUGUAGCAGUGAAUAGCGUAGAUAUGCGGAGGAACGACCGAUGGCGGAAGGCAAUCCCCUCGGCCUGUACUGACGCUCAUGCACGAAAGCGGUGGGAGCAAACAGGAUU
rnacentral:rRNA from 1 species